CCACAUUUUCUCAUCAAUCCUUAGUCAAAAUGCGCUAAAAUUGUAACAGUAGGUUACUGAUAAUAUUUAUGAUUUUCUGUAACUUUUUCAAAAAAUUCUGCGAAUCUUUAUUUUUGAAUUCAAAAUUUGGGCCUCAAACAAAAUAUGCCAAUUUUCUACCAACCGUUUGCCCAAUGAAGCUGAAAGGCUAAUAAGAACAUAAUUUUUUUAUUUUCUGCAUUUUUUUAGAAUUUUCUGGACUGGAACAUGUAAGUUGACUCGGUCAAAAUUUAUCACGUAUACAAAAGACAUCUUUCGACUGGGUGAGGGGGGUAAUUUAAACAGUAUGAAUGGUUCGAGGUUGUGUUCUAGCUCGUAUUGGAGUUUAGGGGGUAAUUUAGACGGGACGAAUAGUUCGAGGUUGUGUUCUAACCAGUAUUAGAGUUUAGAGGGGUAAUUUAAACGGUGUUUAGGGUUGUAAUAUGGACUUAUGGCAAAUGUAUCAUUUUCUCAAGGACCAUCUUUUGAAAAGGAAUCGGCAGGUAGUAAACAAUAUUUCUUAGUUAUUUGUUCUUUGAUUGUCAUUUCUCCCGUUUUGUAUAGUUUGUCAUCUAAGGUUGCAUCUAAUCUUUACCGUCUAGCAGUACCAACAUGUUUGGAAAGUGGUUAAUUGCGAGGCACCAAAAGAUGAGAGCGCUAAUAUUUGUGGGAGCAUCGCACAUCACUUUGCUUGUCGAUGUGGCUACGCAGAUAUGAUGUUAUAAUUAAUGAAAUAUUUCUUCUCGCAUGCAAAUUCUAAACCCUAAUCCUUUGCUUUAAUUCUGUGGUGGGUUGAUUGGAUCUUUUAGAAAAAAAAAUCUUUGUGAAAUGGUCGAAACGGACACAAAUCUGUUAGUAUAAAGGUUCACCAUAAGUACAACAUCUCAAAAGAUAAUAAAAAUUACAUCAAGAUCACUGCACCAUUGGAUGACUAUUACCGCCGCCUGAACAAGCCGAUGAUCUUGUCGAUGACAACGAGGAAGUCUUCAUGCACGUGCUCCUAAUGACCAGUGUCCUGGAGCCACAGUUUCCGUUGCCGAACCUUUGGAACGAUCUGAAGAACCUAACAUGGUUGGGUGGUUGUUUUAAUUACUUUUGUUUCAAUGAUGUCACUACUCUAAUGGUUGUAUAGCUAGCGUUGAGAUCCAUAAAACUUUCAUUUUCAAAAAAAAAAAUCAGCGUCGAGACUAGAGACUCAAUAAUAAUAUGUGGAGAGAAGUAUAUUUUUGGUCCUUCAAUUAGCAUCAAAGUCUAGAAAUGGUACCUCAACUCAAAAUCGUAUAAAUUUAAUCCCUGA
rnacentral:lncRNA from 1 species